GUACCAGAAUAAUCCACAAUUUAACAAUCCCCUCGCCUUUUACUAGGGGAUUCCGUGUGGAUUGUUCAAUGUAUGGUGCCUUUCUAAUCUUUGGGCUUACUUCUCUUCGAGAGAA
rnacentral:snRNA from 1 species